GAGUUUAAGAAGAGGUUGGUGUUACAUGGAGCAGCAGCACAGUCAAGCAGGGAACAGAUCACGUAAAGCCCUUUAGAGAGUGAAGUCGGCUUUUUAUGCUAGGUGCAACUGGGAGUUCUGAACACGGCAAAGUUGGACAUUCCAAAGAUGGCGUAGAUGAACAUGACCAGGAAGAGCAGGAGGCCGAUGUUAAACAACGCAGGAAGGGACAUCAUCAAAGCAAAGAGCAGCGUGCGGAUCCCCUUUGCUCCUUUGACUAGACGUAGGAUUCGGCCAAUCCUGGCAAGACGGAUCACUCGGAACAGGGUAGGGGACACAAAAUACGUUUCAAUCAAAUCAGCUAGAAACAUACCUGUAUGUGGAGGAAAAUAAUAGAAAUAAAAUAUUUAAAGAUGUAUGCUACCU
ensembl:lncRNA SCN1A-AS1 SCN1A and SCN9A antisense RNA 1